UUCCCAGACCUCAUUUAGGGAUUGGCAGUAGAAGUGAGGUGUUAUUAUCUGGGGAUCCCUGUCUCCUUGAUGAUCUUAUAGCCCUUCUGAAGCAUCCUGGGAAGCAGCUACUCUCUGAGGUUGCUCUGAUUUAUACUGGGAGCAAGGUAGACCCUGGCAGCACUUUGAAUCUGGGAGGCCUAUGAUAGCAGGAGAACAGCAAUAUAAAUAACAGGGCAUCAGUCAAUGCAUGUGUGCCAAAACCUCACUCUUCUCAUCUAUGCUUUGUGAUGCCCAUGUCUUCUGCUGCCUUUUCUCUCUCCACUGUCACCAAACAGCUUUGGUGUACCUGGGAAUAGAAAGGAGUGCCACAUCUGGAAUUUUCAGCUCUCAGCCUGACCAGCUUACAGAGAGCAUGCUCCUGCUCCUCCUGAAGGCAGUAGAACUGCCCCUUCCAGCAGGAGCAAAACCAGAUUGGUUGCCAAGGGAAAGCUGCCACAAAGCUGCCACUGGGAGGGAGAGAGAAAAACAAGAAAUAUUAAAUAUAAGUGCAGAUGUUUUCCUUGAGAGCCUUGUUUUUCUGACACAAAAUAGGAAGCUUUUAUUUAAGAACAUAUGUGUGGAUAAUGUUCCUCAAAGCAUUGGAUUUUGACAGUUGUGCACUUGGUUUGUAUAUUUUGACAUGUAACAAUCUAAGCAAAGGACGGGAACAUGUGGGUUUUGAGUUUCAUGUCAGUGUUGUUUGGUGUUGGUUUUCUUGCUUGUUUGUUGGGUUGUUUUUUUUUUUUUUUUCCCCGUUGCUUUUGUUUUUGGGUGCUUUUUUUUUUUUAAAAAAAAAAAAAAAAGAAAAAAGCAUGAAACAUUCUUCUUAGAUGUCUGAACUAACUGUAUGUUACAUUUACAUUUUUAAUCAUGCUCAAGACUAUUAAUGUAAAGAUAGUAGUUCAUCAGAAUGAUUUAAGGCUGUCCCAGGCUUAAGGAAGAAUAAAAUAUACUUUAAGUGUGGGUUCUGCAGGGUGGAAGGAAUUGAAGGCAACCUACAGGGAAAACAGCAGAAAUAUUUCCGAAGGCUUCUAGGUAAUGUAACUGGCAUAGGAAAUACAUAAGCACUUUGCGUUUGUUAC